rnacentral:lncRNA from 1 species
ACUGAAGAUUGUUGGCUGCCUGGGAAGCAUUUUUGGUAAUAUGUGUUCAGUUCUCGCUUUAGCGCCCCCUUAAUUGCCCUGUUAAACUUUGUUUGCAUCCAUGUCUAGAUUUAGGCGCCAGUGUGAAACUUCUGAAUAUAAUUUCUUUUUUCCUCUUAAUUUAAUUGUACUUUAUGAUGUCUGAUCUUCCAUGGUUCAUCCAUUUUUGCUCCCAAGAUCAUAAGCAUUCUUAACUAUGGAGAAAUAAUUUCUUUCUUAUCUCUUGUUAAUUGUCAUCUUUUGCACAAUUCCAGAAUCUUUUCUUUUCUUGAUUUCCCUUUGGAAUUUUGAAAGCAAUUAUAUGGAGUAUCAUAUUCAAAGAUUGCUAGACUAAUGACUGGUCUAAUUUUCUUUUGCAUAUGCUUGGAUUGCAUAUAUGAAGAAUUCUAGUAGGCUUUUCUAUACCGUGAAAUAUGGACCCAAGAAAAAA